UGGAAGCAGCCAUCCUUUAAAGAAAGCGUAAUAGCUCAUUGGUCUAGUUUUUUUGCGCCUAAAAUGUAUCGAGACUUAAGAAAUUUACCGAAGCGGCAAGUUUUAUUUAUAAUAAAACGGUAGCGGAACAUUCUGUACGUUGAUAAAGAUAUGUUGUAAAAUAUAUUGAAGAUAUCAGAAAAGAAAAUGCUGGCAUUAGUAACAAAAAAUAAUGAAUAAGAAUCAUUAUCACCGUAAAUCCAAGGGUUUCUAUGUUAAAAUGUAUUUCAUAGAGUGAAACGGCCCCUAAGAAAGAUUUGACGAAAGCAAAUUUUGAUGGGAUAAUUUUUAAAUUAAAUUUUUUAAAAAAAGUGACAAAAAGUUUUACUUUUUCAGGAAAUAGCUUUUUUUAAAAAAAACCGUACCCUAAACCGACACAGGUGGAUAGGUCGAGUAGACUAAGGUGGAUGAGAGAAUUAUAUUGAAGGAACUCGGCAAAAUGACUCUGUAACUUCGGGAUAAAGAGUACCUAAAUAUUAUAUUUAGGUGUCACAAAAUAGGGGGUUGCGACUGUUUAAUAAAAACUUAGGACUCUGCUAAAUGGUAACAUGAUGUAUAGGGUCUGACACCUGCCCGGUGCUGGAAGAUUAAUAGGAGAUGUUUGCGCAUUGAAUGGAAGUCCCAGUAAACGGCGGCCGUAACUCUGACGGUCCUAAGGUAGCGAAAUUCCUUGUCGGGUAAGUUCCGACCUGCAUGAAUGGUGUAACGACAUCCCCGCUGUCUCCAAUAUAAACUCAGUGAAUUUGAAUUAUCCGUGAAGAUGCGGAUUCUCUAUAGUUAGACGGAAAGACCCCGUGAACCUUUACUACAUCUUUAUAUUGUUAUUUUAUCUAAUAUGUGUAGCAUAAGUGGGAAUCAAUAAGACCUUCACGCUAGUGAAUUGUUUAGAUAACAUUGAAAUACCACUCUUAUUAAAAUAAAUAACUAAUAUUUUUAUAAAUAGACAGUGUAUGGUUGGUAGUUUGAAUGGGGCGGUCACCUCCUAAAGAGUAACGGAGGUGUACAAAGGUAAGCUCAAAUUGGAUUAUAUUAUCAAUUGUAGAGCGCAAUGGUAUAAGCUUGCUUGACUGUAAGAUAGACAUAUCAAACAGGGACGAAAGUCGGUCAUAGUGAUCCGAUAAUUCUUUGUGGAAAGAUUAUCGCUCAACGGAUAAAAGGUACUCCGGGGAUAACAGGGUGAUGACUCCUAAGAGCUCCU
rnacentral:ncRNA from 2 species